rnacentral:misc_RNA from 1 species
GCACCGCGAUGAACAUCCACAUAUCCGGGAAUCUGAGCAAACCGACCGUGAUCUUUAUCGCCGGAUGGCCAGACACCUGUGAUGUCUUCCGUGACAACGUCAUGGCCACUUUGGCCACGGACUACCGUAUUGUUGGAGUGACCUUGCCCGGAUUCGACGACGAGCAUCCGUUUCUGGAAGAGCUGCGCAAGCGAGGCGACGCAGAAGGGCUGAAUCAGCUGGGGAAACUGCGGGGCGGGGGCAACGGGGUAUCAACCGCGUGCACGGCAACUGGGUCCACGUGGAUGAGCACGCUUUCGCCGAUGCGAUUCCUCACCUCCGCCGGCGCUGCCCCGCAACCAAACGACAGCAGCAGCCGCGGUGGCGGGGCAUGCGCGAGAACACCGCUGCAGGCAUUCGGCCUUCCCUGUCGCUGCGCCGCAUUAGAGCCUUUCCGCACCUCGUGGAAGGGCCACAGCUUCCAGGAUCUCGUGACGCUGCUCGAAAUCGCGGUGGACACAGCCAUGGAAACGUGUAACUACUGCCCAACUGUGAGGUCGCCCAUCUCUGCGGAGGCGCAGGCGAGCGCGAGACGCAGCGGCGGCGGCGAAAGCGAGGCAUCAGAGCCCACCACCGAUGCGUUCGCGGCUCACCAGUUGCCACCCACAUACACUCGGCCAGUGCUAAUCGCGCACGACUGGGGGUGCUUGUUGGCCUACGAGCUACUCCUUGCCCGGCCAAGGCUCUUCUCUCGCAUCGUCGCCCUCGAUGUCGGCGCGUACUGUUUUGAAAGCGACGCCGCUCACGUUGAACGCAUGUGCGCUUUGGUAUCCGGGCAAGGCAAGGGCACGCCAGCCGACGUGGCCCGCAGCCCUUUUGCAGCAGCUGAGGCGCAAGCCGCGGUAAACAAGGAAAAGGCUGCGAAUUCAUCCGCUUCUGGGCGGGAGGUGGACGCUAUCGCUCAGACUACUACAGCCACCUGCGAUCCAAACUUGGCUCAGCGAGGACGAAUAGUGCCGGCAGCUGGCGCCGCCCCGACCCUCACGCUGCUUCGAAGACAGAGUACCUCGCCCCUGGACGCUGCGCCGGCCCUGUCGACGCUGCCGCAGAUGCGCAGCGGUCCUUCCACUCCAGGGACAAAGCGCUCUCUCGCUUUGCAGUACGCCAUCCGCCGGCGCAGGGGCGCCGCUCUACCGCAGCGUGCUGAGGCGCGCAAAAGGCUUUUCAUUGUCCUCUACCAGUUUUUUUUGAUCGCAUGUGAGCUGUUUGUGCCCCAUCGCCUGGCGCGCUGGCUGGUGGGGUGGUUUGCGAGCGUCUCCGGGCGACCCUCCUACUCGUACGACCCACAGAUGGUGGUUACGCCGACGAUGGAGCUGCUGAACCACACUCUCAACGCACAGUUCUUUGCGCGACACCCCCUCGCUGUGGAAAACCGGGGCGCUCUGCAGCUGCCCAUGCUACUGCAGACGGAGGAGACCAAAGGCUCUCCAUCAUCUUCAGCAGCAGCAGUAGCUACUGUGGAGGCGGGCUACUGCAAGAGCAAGGGACCUGCGCAGGCAACGGCCGCCGGUUGGAAGAUCAUGCUCAUCCCGUAUCUGGAGAAGAUGUCCGUGACAGCCUUCCGAGGCAGCGCAACGUCUGGCAAUCAGGGUCAGCUGCAGUCGAAUGGCCGACCCCUGUCCAAACGUGGGGUCUGCGAGGCCUUUGAAGGAAACUGCGGCACGAUUCGCAAGUCCACGCAUUCUGGGCGGGCACAGCGGCACAGGCUCUACGGCGACUCGUCGACAGACAGCUGCGCAAGCGUUGAUGGGAUGGGCGACAAUUUGGAGGGUGACGGUGUUGCUGGCCGAAGCGGUACCACGUUUGACAAGAAGAACCCGACAGACGACGCGCACGUCGUCUUCUCAUCGUACGCGAAGGGGGCUGACAUGGUGUUCGAUGAGUGGAAGUCGCUCGCCGCCGGCACGCGCGGCAUCGUCGAUGAGGGCCCAAGCGGUCUCGGCAGCAGCGGCGAACUUGACCCGUACACCUCUGUCAAGGGCAUCGCUGCACCCGUGUGGGUCACCGAGGAUCCGCUCACUCUGACAGGCGCGCAGAGCUUCAUGGAGACGAACAGGGCAACAGGGGUGGGCAGCAAGGACGUCAGUUUCUUGAUGGCUGCCGACGGCACCUUUGCGGGCGACGGCAGUCGCGCUGACACUUUCGGCGUCUCUUCUAGCACUGGUGCAAGACAAAUGCACGUGGCAAAGCGGCGCCUCUUCUACCAGGCCGUCGUCUUUCCACCGUUGAAUAGCGUCGCCACCGGGUCGUCGUCGACGUCGUUUUACGGCGACCUCGACGAUGGCGACUCAGAUCGCAGCUCUGUCGGGCCACGCUCGACAGUGCUGAGCCGACUACGCAAGUCGAACCGCACCUCUCCGCUGCGUCCUGCUGUGCCGGUGCACGCGUCGCCCUGGCACUCGUGGAUCUACCUCCGAUUCUGGUUGGGGACGUUCGUGCUGCGCCUCGUAGCGCUGGUGUCGUGGCUCCUUGGUGAAAAGCCGUCCAUGCAACCGUCAUCUGUGCCGGGCGAAGGCAUGGCAGCCUCGAGUGCCACCGGCGCUGCGAGCAGGGCGUCAUCGAAUGUCAUGACCACAGCGAUGACUACAAUAUAUCGUCGACUGCCUGCUACGCCCUCACUCGCUGCAGAUGUUUCUACUCUGCCGGGGAAUGGCGACGUCGUGCUGCAGCCAAAGAGCCACGCGCCGCUAGUCACACAGCGCUACUUUGUGCCGCUGCCGAUUCCUAUUCUCUUUAUGUACGGCGGCGAGAAGCGCGUCAUGUUUCACGCCGACCACUGGUGCUCGUACAUACGUCAGUAUCAGCGGCCGCGUGACGGGAUUUCCGAUGUGGUUGAGGUACAGGGUGGCGGGCACUGGUUCUUCGCUGAGAAGAAGUAUCAAAAGAAAGUGGCAGAUCGCAUCGCCGAAUUCCUCGCGGCAGAGCCAACGACGCCGUAUGAAGUCUGACGCGACGUGCAUGGGCGUUGCAGCGCGUCUGGGAAGACUCCGCCACGAGCUCACGGUCCGAUCGCUUUCUUGAGUACGGGUGAGGAGUUCAUUGCUUUUCGACUGCGCUUCUGCUAAGCACCGACUGCGGCACUUGUCUUUCUGCACUCAUCUAUCUUAUGCAUGACGCCGCGCCAUUACCUGCGUUUCCGCGUGCGUUUACUUCCGUCUUCUCGCACACGAACGCGCUCUCACGUGCGCGUCGUCUUCGCCAG